rnacentral:rRNA from 1 species
GUGGGGAAUAUUGGACAAUGGGCGAAAGCCUGAUCCAGCAACGCCGCGUGAGUGAGGAAGGUCUUCGGAUUGUAAAACUCUUUUAUUAGGGAAAAAUGUCUAGGUGGCUAAUAUCCACUUAGAGUGAUGGUACCUAAGGAAUAAGCACCGGCUAACUUCGUGCCAGCAGCCGCGGUAAUACGAAGGGUGCAAGCGUUAAUCGGAAUUACUGGGCGUAAAGCGCGCGUAGGUGGUGUUGUAAGUUGGAGGUGAAAUCCCCGGGCUCAACCUGGGAACUGCCUCCAAAACUGCAUGACUAGAGUACGGUAGAGGGUAGUGGAAUUUCCUGUGUAGCGGUGAAAUGCGUAGAUAUAGGAAGGAACACCAGUGGCGAAGGCGACUACCUGGACUGAUACUGACACUGAGGUGCGAAAGCGUGGGGAGCAAACAGGAUUAGAUACCCCGGUAGUCC